rnacentral:lncRNA from 7 species
GCUAUGGGUUCUGAUCUGAAGAGUAUGGCCCCAGCAGCAGGAAUUUGCAAGACCAGGCAGCAUUAAAAUUCUGUGAAUCUGCUGAGAUCUGAGGUGGACUACGUGCUCCUAAGACUCACAGUCCAUGACAGGCUUCAUCUCAUCAAAAUGAAUGGUGUCUCUUUAUGGCCUGGCAUGUACCGGCAGAAGGUUCUAAGUUACACCAAUGGGACAUUUAAACCUGCCCUAAAAUGCGGGCAGCUGAACAGUCAGAGCUUAUGGGGGAAUCCUAGGAGGACUAUUGGAUUGAGAUUUGAGGGCUCAUCAGAGCAGAACAUUGGAUGCAGAGUUCAAAGUGCCCUUGUGUGGGUCCAUUCAGAAGCCACUCAGCAGACCACAGGCGCAUACCUUGUGAGUACUUGGUCUCCUGGAGGUCACACUGCCCCUGGAUGUUUGCUACUAGCUGCUGUGCAGCAGCACUGCCAGAUGUGGGGGACACAAUCUGUUCCUGGCCUUUUGCUGCAGACAGAUGCAAAACCAGGACUGCUCCUACUUUGGCUCUGACUCCUGGUCAUCACAUGUGUGACCUCAAAGCUAAUGCACACCAUUGUGUACCUGCAGACUUACUGGAGCAAAGCCUCCAAAUGGCAAAUGGAAAAGCCAUCUGGACUUGUCCACGGCCCUGUUAACUCUCAUGGUGCUGCCUUGGCUGUAGUCAACCACCUCUAGCAGGAGGAAAUGUGAUCCUUAACAAAACCAGAGAAGCUUAUCAAGUCACUGAGCAAACCUACAGCAUCCCUUGUACAGGCAGAGAUUCUUCUGAAGCCCCAUCAGAAUUUCUGGUCCAGUCAUCUGCCUCAUU